GGUAAUAGGGCUGUGGUGGGAUGACGUGUCCACCACAAACACUUCAUAAAUACAUGUGCAUCCAUUCAGGAGAAUACUGAUUGCCAGUAUUAAGGAAAUCCUUGGUUGAGAGAAUCCCCAUGACACCAGGAACAAAGUGUUUUCAUCUCUAAAAGGGCCAAUUGUUCAAAUGUGUGCAUGUAGUAUAAAGUGGUAACACACAAGAUCAUUGAGGACUGCACCUGCUGCCUGGGGCUUGCCAGCUGGGAGCAUCCCCUGCCAAGUGGGGCCCAGAUGGGCAGUUACUUUUUGAUGAAAAGCGGACGCAGCCAUACAUUGACAAUACGGGCGCAUCAUUUUAUAGCUUGUCCAACAGUAGGAAUCCCAGAAAAGAUUCCCACGGAACAGGGGACCAACUUUACGGCCUAAUGAAAUAGUUGGACAGGGGGCUUGGCAUGAAGGGAAUCUGAAGUAAACUCACCAUCCACCAUCUAAUAGCCGGCUUUGCCGGUUUAGCACUUUUGGGUUGACGAAGGACCUGUGUUGUAUGAGCUGGGCUUUAAUUUGCUUUUGGAGAAACCUUUGACCCACAUAGCCAACCUGUGUUUUGGACUGAGACACAGCUAUGCAUAUAUGGCAAAAAGGAAAUAGUAUGGUGCUCAGAACUUUUCUUGUGGUCUCUGGCAGUUGUUUGUUGAGGGUCUCUGGGAGGAAGACAUUAACCACUGCAGAGCCAACUGUGAUGCUUCCCAUGAGAAUGUAGGGCAGAAACUUGCUGUAUGUGCCUGUUAAAUACAAUUGAUAAAGAUCAACUCCAUACCUUUGUGGUUUUGUAAAGAAAAAAAAAAAGCCUUUCUCUGUAUUACGUUAACAAUGAACCUUGAAUACAUUUCCCACCUUGUAUUUACAAAGUUAGUUCAUCCUGUAACACUUUACAGUAAAGGUACAAUAAUGAACUGUUAAUUAACAUUAGGUAAUGCAGUAAUAAACAAUAACGUGGGUUUUGGUGUUUCCUUCCUCUGCCACGUACCUAAAUAUAUGACGUACGGAGCGGUGAUGCUUCCGAUGCGUGCCGCGGAAGAACACAUUCCGAUGCCGAUGUUCCUCAGGACCGUCGGGUAAAGCUCCGCCGUGUAGAUGUAGACCACGCUGAAGGCCAUGGUGAAACCGAAUUUCCCAGUCAGAACCAUGGCCAGAGUCAAACCAUGGAGAGCUGUAUGGUGGAAUAUUUAUACAGCAAUUUAGCUAGCUGUAAAACUAUUUAAAUUUUACAUUUUAGAUAAGGGCUGGUGUCAAUAGGCUGAAAUAGAUAGUUUAAUCCAAAUUGUAUCUAAUCUUAUGUCUUUUUAUGUUGUUUGUGAAAAUAUUCCUUGAAAACAACGGACUGCCAAUCUUACACUCGGGGAUGAACUGGACAAGGAGUAGAAAUCCACCACCGAUGAUGAGGAAAGAGGAAAGAAGGGCUCUUCUUGGACAGUUCCUCAGAAGCAGAGUGGACAUGACAUGGGCAGGAACUUCAGUGCAGGCUGACAGGAAGCAGUUCAUGUAAGGGUCACCACUUAGGUUUGAGGUGUUCAGAGAUAGUCCAAAGUAACCAAUGUUAACAGACAUCCUUUAAAAAAGAGAAAAAAAGACAAUCUGCAUUACUGUAUUGGAUUUCUUGACACCAGCACAUCAAUUAUGUACAUUUAAGUAGCAACUCUUUUUAUAAUCUUGGCUGAGAGGCAUAUUUUUUAAAUGGACUUACCAAAGAGUUAGACACAAGAGUGUGAUGAGCCUUAGUUUUCUGGAUUUCAGUACGUCAAUAAUGGUGUAUUUCUUUAUUUUCUGCCCAUCUCCAAACUGAAAACAUGGGGGAAAGGUUAUUCGUGAUCUUCUGGCUAAAAUAUAAACCAUUUCACACAUAGAUAGUUGGUUUCUGCUGUGUUACUAUUCAAAUGUUAAUCUUUUAUCAUGCAAGUCUAAUCAUUCUAUUUAGUACCUUUAGCAGGCAGUGACACAGGUUAACCCAUACAAAUGAAUACAAUGGCAUGAGAUUAUACAGCCAAGCUUCAGUGAAAUAGGGGAUCUCGAUACAAUUCAGGAAUAAAUGUAGGCAGGUAAUUAUGUUUGUAAAAGGACCAGUACCAUUGUUUUUUCACAGAAAUUGUCCUUGUUAAAUCCUGCGCAUAGUAUAAACGUGUGAUAAGCAUCUCA